UACGUAGGUGGCGAGCGUUGUCCGGAUUUACUGGGUGUAAAGGGCGUGUAGGCGGGAUGGCAAGUCAGGUGUGAAAUUCCAAGGCUCAACCUUGGGGGUGCACUUGAAACUGCUGUUCUUGAGUGUCGGAGAGGAAAGCGGAAUUCCUAGUGUAGCGGUGAAAUGCGUAGAUAUUAGGAGGAACACCAGUGGCGAAGGCGGCUUUCUGGACGACAACUGACGCUGAGGCGCGAAAGCGUGGGGAGCAAACAGGAUUAGAUACCCUGGUAGUCCCUGA
rnacentral:rRNA from 1 species